rnacentral:rRNA from 1 species
UACGGGGGGGGCAAGCGUUGUUCGGAAUUACUGGGCGUAAAGGGCUUGUAGGUGGCCAACUAAGUCAGACGUGAAAUCCCUCGGCUUAACCGGGGAACUGCGUCUGAUACUGGAUGGCUUGAGUGUGGGAGAGGGAUGCGGAAUUCCAGGUGUAGCGGUGAAAUGCGUAGAUAUUCGGAAGAACACCAGUGGCGAAGGCGACUUACUGGACGAUUGUUGACGCUGAGGUGCGAAAGCGUGGGGAGCAAACAGG